ACGCUCCAGUUCCCUUGCUCAUCGGAUCUAAACACUGGUCUGAGUGCUUAAAGGAGAAGGAAAAGGAAAAUUUAAACAAAAUUCCGUCCUUGUGUUAUCACAGGACCGACUUUCAAGCAAAA
rnacentral:snoRNA from 1 species